GAGACUCUCCCCGAUCUGGUGGUGGCUGUCCUUUGUUGCCGGCCUCUCGAUCUGGCUGCCGCUGCCGUGCGUCGCUGGCCUCACGAUCUGGCCGUCGCCUUCCUGCUUCGCCAUCUUCCUGAUCUAUUAGGUGACCGGCCUUCCGAUCUUGGGGUCGACGCCAUGGAUUCACGUCCUUUGGCAUGGCAAGGAAUCUGGAUGCCCCUGAUCCAUGCACAUGCACGCGGGUGGCUGGCUGUGCGCAUAUGCAUGCGAACAUGAUUGUUGGCCGGCCGGCCGGCGUGGGCGUUGGGAUUCGCGAGCCUUUCUCCAGUGAUUUGGUGUCUCUGCCUCCCAAUUGAUCUGAAACAGGUCUUGGGUGAGGCACUGCCACCGACAUACACGGGACUCGGCGGCACGGAUCCUCAUGUUUCGUCAACACCAUCGGCACGUCGAUCACCUCGAUUACUUUGGUGCUGGCAGAUGCGAGGCAUGGUUCUUGGCCACGUGGUGAUGUCCAUGUCAAGAUCAUGCAGGCGAGCAACUGUCUUUGGGUGAAGCAAUGUAUGAGGAGAAGAUGAUACUUCACAGUGCGGCGUGCGAAUACGGUUUCAUUUGCGUGACAAAGUUCACGUCAAAAUCGUGCAUGUUGCGAUUGUGAGCCUGAUGACCAGCGCUUUGUAGUAGUGUUGUUUCAUACAUGCUACUCAAAGUGGCUGAUCGUUUUGGCAGGUGCUAUGUUUUCUUGUUUUUCUUUUUUU